UGCGUCCUAACAUAACUUCUCUUUCACUCAAAUGCAGCUAGCAUGAGGCCUAAUCAUGAAGACCCUCCUCAUCAAGGAAAAAAGUGGUUUGUGUCAUAGGCAGAGAUGGUACAGGGCAUGAACACUAACCUGAUAUAUUAAGUACUGCUUUAUUUCAUAUCCUGGACUAGUGUAUACAGGGGAAGAAAUAUAAUCUAUGCAUGAAUUCUUCCUGAGAUUUGGGCCUCAUGCAAACGACCAGCAAAGCUGCAGGAGGAGCACUUCUUCAUCUUCCCAUGGAGUAUCAAGGAGGCUUCCUCCAGAAACUGAUGAAAGCAGAUGCAAAGAACAACAGCCAAACAUAAGGAGGAGCUCCAGGAACCUGAGAAAGAGGGGGAGGAAGGACUGUGGGAAACUGAGAGGUCAAGGACACCAGAAGCAGGACUCAAAGGGGCUCAAAGAGAACUGAAGUGACAAUCACAGAGCCUGUACAGGUCUGACCUAGGCCCUAUACAUAUACGUCAUGGUUGUGUGGUUUGGUAUCAUGGGAGUCUUUUAACAGUGGGAGUUGGGGAUGUCUCUGGCUCUUUUGCCCCUCUUGGGACUCUUUUCCUCCUACUGGGUUGUUUCAUCCAGCCUUGAUGUGAAGGUUUGUCCCUAAUUAUACUUUAACUUUUUAUGCAGUGGUCGAUUGAUAUCCCUAGGAAUUCUGCUAUUUUCUGAAAGGAAACAGAGGAGGGGUGGAUCUAGGGGAAAAGGGAGGUAAGCUCUUUGAAGGGGAGUACAUAUAGAAUGUAAUAUGUGAGAGAGGAUUAAAUAAAAGAAAGACAAAAUAAGCAGCUCUCUUUUGCUUUUAUAGCCAAUUACAUUUGAGGCUGAUGAGUCUCGGAGACUUUAUAUUUGGAUUUAAGAGGAGCACUAGAGUACUCAUUAUUUAGUGACCCUGUGGAUGGACUGAAUACAUUUUGCAUAAAGAGAAGGAUAGAACAAAUUCUUUUCUACAAAUUCUACAAAUUCUACAGUUUGGCCUUCGAAUGUCUACCCAAAGUCCACACAUCACAGGUUUGGUCUCUAUCUUAGGGAGCUGAGACGUGAGGUAAUGAGAAAAAUGAAGCAGUAACCUGUAAGAGAUCUCAAAGUCAUGGCCUUGGAAUAAAAGAGGCUGGUCCUUCCUCUUCCUCAGUCUGUUUUUCCUGGCUGUAGAAGUUCUCUUCUGCCAUGACUUCUUGCUAUGAGGUACUGCCUUACAAAAGGCUCAAAGCAAUGGAACAGCUCGUCAUGGCCUGAAAUGUGAGCCCAAAUAGACAUUUCUCCUUAUAAGGUGAUUAUCUUAGGUGAGAAAAGUAGGUCAGUGCUUAAGGGCACUUGCUGCUCUUGCACAUGGCAUUUGUUUAGUUCCUAGCAUUCACAUCAGGGGCUCAUACUCUCCUGUACCUGCCGUUCCAGAGGAUGCUACAGUCUCAUCUGGUCUCCACAGGCCCUGCACAAAUGCUCAUAAAGACACACACAAACACACACACACACAUACACACACAAUUCAAAAGAAGUGAUUAUGUCCAUAACCAAUAUAAUCACAGAAAAUGACCAAAUUUCUCAAGCAUUUCAGGUUUUGGAUUUGUAUAAAAUGCAAAGAUAUCUGCUAGGCCAAAAAGUGAAUAGGUAACACCUAGAAGUAGCUGGAGAAUAGUUUUUGAAGAAUUGUCCAUGAAGGCCUAGAGAAAAUGAAAUCUGAGUAAAGAGGAGCUUGAGUUACUAGAAACAAUGAGAUAUACAAGAAAAGAGCAACACAUGGUGUUCAGGGAGCACCAGAUUAGUAUGGUGGAGAAGGGAGACUGUCUCAGUGGGAUCAUUUGAGAGGUAACAGGAAUUGGGUCAACUGAGACUGUCAGGCUGUUAUUUUGCAGGAUGAGGGGAGCUAGUAUCGAGCAGUGAGGUGCUCCCAUUACUGCUAGAUUGAUAAUCCCUUGAAAGGGACUUGGGCUCCUUCAGAAGAUUAGGAAGACAGCCAUAGCAGCUGCUGCAGGGGUUCAGUUAAGAAAUAGGUCGACUUUGGGCAGGUGGUAGAGCACCAGUGAGAAAUGUACUGAGAGUAUGGAUAUCUACUCAGUGUGUAAGCAAAAGCUUUGCUAUGGAUAGUCAACUUUCUGGGAGCAGGCAUGGACCUGGAGGCCUCUGAGUUGAGAAAGUGAAUAGGAGAUGCUUCAGAGUUACAGAGACUUAAAGUUUGAAAUGUUUGAAUUCCCAAAUGGAUUGGGCAUGUGUAGCACAUAUAUGGAGGAGAGAUGCCAAUUAAGUUUACACAGUGAAGUCACAGGCAAUGUGUGCAGUCCUGGGGAUAAUGGGGUCACCUUGCUUAUCUUUCUGCAGACAUAGUGUUUGAACAGCAAGUGCAGUGACUGGGAGGAAGCAAGUUCACCUGGAGGACAGAGGGUUUAUCAACCCAGAAUGUCCUGGGGCAGCUUCCUAUUGGGGAAAUUUAUGGGACUUCUAACCAGGUCCCAAAGAAUUUAAAAGAAAGAGGAACAAGAAAAGAAAGACACUCUUUAGGGGGUUUUUACUAAUUAAAAAAUAAAAGGAGGGAUAAAUUAUUUACUAGAUGACUGGAUAACCACAGGCUCCCUGAAGAGUGACUCACAAGGAUGUUGGAAGGCACACCUUCUUGAUAACCGGGUGAAUGAUGGCAGGCAUGAACCCUCUGAUGAUUCAUCCACUUACACUAAUCUUGGGUGGGAACCCUGGAGCUGCCCUGAUGACAGACUCAGUUCUAAGGCAACUUCAAUAAAAUUAAGCAGGUGCCUUUUAUUUGUUGAAAACUGUCCCAUACUUGAAAUAAUCACACACAGCUCAAUAAAAAGCAUGCAUAGAUCAGGUGAUGAGUGAAUUCAAGAAAGUGCUGGAAUGUGUAGACAGGAAUGCUAAAGCUUAGGGAAAAUCAGAGUGCACUGAUUUGCAAUUUUGAACUUGACUUAGUAAUCUUGAGAAAAGAGAUCUCAAUUGCUUCAAACUUUCAACUCGCUGGAAAUAUGGACUGCAGUGUAGGUAUGCCCAAUGCCAAUAAAAUGCUUUUAAGUAGGAUUAUUUUUGUAAACAACUGUGUACAUGAAGCAAAUUGUAUCAUUUCUCUAGUUGUAGUUGAAUGAACUCAAUUUCCCAAUCAUGUCCUGAGGGACCACCUUUAAGGAAUAGGCUAAGUGGCACAGCACCCAGCUUGACUGACUGACUUCCACCCACAGCAUGGGGUCUCAAUAAAACUCACCUAGUAGAGCUCAUUCCAUAUGGAGAGAUACCUUGCCCAGCCUAGACACAAGGGCAUGGGGGUGGGGAGGUAUCAUGACCCUGCCUCAACUAGACGAAGGGACAGACAGAGUAGACUUCCUAGAGGAGGCCUUAUGGUCUCUGUGGAACAGAUGGGAGUUGGGGGAAAGUGGGAGGAGUGGGAAGAAAGGAGAGAGGGGGAACAGGGAUUGGAAUGUAAAAAAUAGAUUAAUAAUAAUAAUAAUAAUAAAGAACCAUCUAGCGGCAUGUAAUGAAGACUUCAUGCAGGAAGUAGUGUUGGGAUUAAAUCAAGCUUGAGGAAUGAAACCACAUUGGGAGGUAUUAGAAGUUUGCCGAACUUUAGUCAUAUUAAUUAUAGUGCUUUGAUGACUUAACUGUAGUAAUCUAUGAAUGCUUUGAUUAUCGGAUGUUUGUAAUUAAUGUUAUGCUCUAUUCUUUUACAUUGACUACAGCAGUUCUUGUUUUAUUAAAAUAUAAUUAAUAAAAUUGUAUCCUCUAAUGUAUUUUAGUGUGUCAACAAGGCAGAGUCAGUGUAAUGUGGUUUUAGAACAAGUUUUCCUAUUGAAAAGAAGGCUCAUACCUGUUAUGUAAGUACUCCAAUAAAACACACACACACCACACACACACACACACACACCCACCACUAACUGCCUAUUUGAAUGAUAACUUCAUAAUAACUUAGAAAGAUGUCAAGUUAUUUUACAAAAUGGCUGCCUUUGUUUUGCCACCAGAAGUGUGUGGGUGUGGGGGGUGGUUGGGCUUCUGUUGUCAAUUUUUUAUCUGUACUUGCAGUCUU